UUUUAUACGACCGCAAAAAAAUUUUUGUGGUCGUAUAUUGGUAUGAAGUUGGCGUCGUCGUCGUCCGGCGUCGUCGUCGUCGUCGUCGUCUGGCGUCGUCCGGCGUCGUCCGAAGACACAUUGGUUUUCGCACUCUAACUUUAGUUUAAGUGAAUGGAUCUCUAUGAAAUUUUACCACAAGGUUCAAUACCACAAAAGGAAGGUUGGGAUUGUUUUUGGGGGUUAUGGUACCAACAGUAAAGGAAUUAGGGGCCAAAAAGGGGCCAAAAAUAAGCAUUUUUGUAACUUCCAGACAUAACUUGUGUGUUAGUGUAUGGAUCUCUCUGACAUUGUACCACAAGGUUCCAUAUCACAAAAGGAAUGCUGGGAUUGAUUUUGGGGGUAAUUGCCUCAAAAUUUUAGGAAUUAGGGGCCAAAAAAGGGGCAAAAAACAAGCAUUUUUCUAGUUUCAUAACAAUAACUUGUGUGUAAGUGUAUGGAUCUUUCUGAAAUUGUACUACAAGGUUUCAUAUCACAAAGGGAAAGCUGGGUUUUUGUUUGGGGGUAAUUGCCCUAAACGUUUAGGAAUUUUGGGCAAAAAAGGGGCCUAAAAACAAGCAUUUUUCUAGUUUUCAGACAAUAACUUUUGUUCAAGUGUAUGGAUCUCUCUGAAAUUGUACUGCAAGGUACCAUACCACAAAGGGAAGGCUGUUAUUGAGUUUUAGGGUGAUGAAUCAUAAGGGGGUUCAAAAAAUUUGGGGGGGGGGGGAUUUUUUUUUUCUUUUUUUCCUUUUUUUUCUUUUAAAAUUUUCCAUUUACUGUGGAUUCAUUUAUUUUCGUGGGUACCAAUUUUCGUGGAUUGAGAAAAACUUGCAUUUUCGUGGAUAUUAAAUUUCGUGGCUUUGGCAAAGUCUGCAUACAUUCCUUUAGGAAAUUUGAAAUUCAUUGAGCAUUUGAAUUCGUGGUUCCCCUGUACCCACGAAAUCCACGAAAUUGGUAUCCAACGAAUAUUAAUGAAUUCACAGUAAAUUGGUUAUUUCUGAUUUAUAUAUAAAAGCAAAUAAUAAUGAUAUGGUUUGAAUAGGUAAAUUAAAAUUUUUAAAGUUCUUAGACCACAUUCAUUCUGUGUCAGAAACCUAUGCUGUGUCAAAUAUUUAAUCACAAUCCAAAUUUAGAGCUGUAUCAAGCUUGAAUGUUGUGUCCAUACUUGCCCCAACUGUUCAGGGUUCGACCUCUGUGGUCGUAUCAAGCUGCGCCCCAGUGGAGCAUUUUAUUCAUUAUGUUAUUUGCCUCAAAUAAAGCUCAAUAAAAAGAUAAUCAUUUAGGAUGUAUAA